CUCUUUGAUCAAGACACAUCUCUUAGAUCUGAGUUCAGUCUCCAUCCUGGUAUAAGUGGAAUGUACGAAGGCACUCCUUCUCCUGAGAUUCAACUUGCUUUCAAAUUCAGAGAGAUUCCACAAGAGCAGAAGAGUAAAAAUAAUAUAAUGCCGCCUCUUAGUGAGAAAGAAGUCUUACAGGUAUAUAUCAUAUU
rnacentral:lncRNA from 1 species